GAUAUAGUAGAAGGAAAUAUAAAAGAAAGCAAUAAAGAUGAUAAUAUCAUGUCAAACCUCCCCAGGAAAAGAUAGUAGUCCUUCCUAGACCUAGCAGCCUCUACAGACCAAAUGAAGACAAAAAGUUAACCUAGCCCCCAAUCCCGAUAAGGCCUUAUUUAUAGCUCUUUUCUCAUUCUUCCCGUGGGCCCCACUCUCAUGUUCUUUUC
rnacentral:lncRNA from 1 species